rnacentral:rRNA from 1 species
GACGAACGCUGGCGGCGUGCUUAACACAUGCAAGUCGAGCGGUAAGGCCCUUUCGGGGUACGACGAGCGGCGAACGGGUAGGAGUAACACGUGGGUGGACCUCGCCCUCCAGCUCUGGGAGUAAGCCUGGGAAACGUAGGGUCGUAAUACUGGAUAUGACUCCACGGUGCAUGUCGUGGGGUGGAAAGCCUUGUGCGGCUGAGGAU